rnacentral:rRNA from 1 species
AGAGUUUGAUCCUGGCUCAGGACGAACGCUGGCGGCGUGCUUAACACAUGCAAGUCGAACGGAGAUAGAGAAGGAAGCUUGCGAAUUCGAUAUCUUAGUGGCGGACGGGUGAGUAACGCGUGGGUAACCUGCCCUGGAAGCCGGGACAACAGCUGGAAACGGCUGCUAAUACCGGAUACGCUCAUAGAGAGGCAUCUCUCAAUGAGGAAAGGUGGCCUCUGAAGAUGCUACCGAUCAAGGAUGGACCCGCGUCUGAUUAGCUAGUUGGUAGGGUAGCGGCCUACCAAGGCGACGAUCAGUAGCCGGCCUGAGAGGGUGACCGGCCACACUGGGACUGAGACACGGCCCAGACUCCUACGGGAGGCAGCAGUGGGGAAUCUUCCGCAAUGGGCGAAAGCCUGACGGAGCAACGCCGCGUGAAUGAAGAAGGCCUUCGGGUCGUAAAGUUCUGUCUUUAGGGAAGAAGUCUUUUCAUGUGAACAAUGUGGGAAGGAGACGGUACCUAAGGAGGAAGCUCCGGCUAACUACGUGCCAGCAGCCGCGGUAAUACGUAGGGAGCGAGCGUUGUCCGGAAUUACUGGGCGUAAAGGGCGCGCAGGCGGGAUUUUAAGUCAGGUGUGAAAACUCUGGGCUCAACUUAGAGAUGGCACUUGAGACUGGAAUUCUUGAGGACAGGAGAGGAAAGUGGAAUUCCUAGUGUAGCGGUGAAAUGCGUAGAUAUUAGGAGGAACACCAGUGGCGAAGGCGGCUUUCUGGACUGAACCUGACGCUGAGGCGCGAAAGCGUGGGGAGUGAACGGGAUUAGAUACCCCGGUAAUCCACGCUGUAAACGAUGGGUACUAGGUGUAGGAGGUAUCGACCCCUUCUGUGCCGGAGUUAACGCAAUAAGUACCCCGCCGGGGGAGUACGGCCGCAAGGUUGAAACUUAAAGGAAUUGACGG